rnacentral:rRNA from 1 species
AGUGAACGCUGGCGGUAGGCCUAACACAUGCAAGUCGAACGGCAGCACAGUAAGAGCUUGCUCUUACGGGUGGCGAGUGGCGGACGGGUGAUGAAUACAUCGGAAUCUACUUUUUCGUGGGGGAUAACGUAGGGAAACUUACGCUAAUACCGCAUACGACCUACGGGUGAAAGCAGGGGAUCUUCGGACCUUGCGCGAUUGAAUGAGCCGAUGUCGGAUUAGCUAGUUGGCGGGGUAAAGGCCCACCAAGGCGACGAUCCGUAGCUGGUCUGAGAGGAUGAUCAGCCACACUGGAACUGAGACACGGUCCAGACGCCUACGGGAGGCAGCAGUGGGGAAUAUUGGACAAUGGGCGAAAGCCUGAUCCAGCAAUACCGCGUGGGUGAAGAAGGCCUUCGGGUUGUAAAGCCCUUUUGUUGGGAAAGAAAAGCAGCAGGUUAAUACCCCGCUGUUCUGACGGUACCCAAAGAAUAAGCACCGGCUAACUUCGUG